rnacentral:rRNA from 1 species
GAUGAACGCUGGCGGCGUGCCUAAUACAUGCAAGUCGAGCGAACAGACGAGGAGCUUGCUCCUCUGACGUUAGCGGCGGACGGGUGAGUAACACGUGGAUAACCUACCUAUAAGACUGGGAUAACUUCGGGAAACCGGAGCUAAUACCGGAUAAUAUAUUGAACCGCAUGGUUCAAUAGUGAAAGACGGUUUUGCUGUCACUUAUAGAUGGAUCCGCGCCGCAUUAGCUAGUUGGUAAGGUAACGGCUUACCAAGGCAACGAUGCGUAGCCGACCUGAGAGGGUGAUCGGCCACACUGGAACUGAGACACGGUCCAGACUCCUACGGGAGGCAGCAGUAGGGAAUCUUCCGCAAUAGGCGAAAGCCUGACGGAGCAACGCCGCGUAAGUGAUGAAGGUCUUCGGAUCGUAAAACUCUGUUAUUAGGGAAGAACAAAUGUGUAAGUAACUAUGCACGUCUUGACGGUACCUAAUCAGAAAGCCACGGCUAACUACGUG